rnacentral:rRNA from 1 species
GAUGAACGCUGGCGGCGUGCCUAAUACAUGCAAGUCGAGCGAACGGACGAGAAGCUUGCUUCUCUGAUGUUAGCGGCGGACGGGUGAGUAACACGUGGAUAACCUACCUAUAAGACUGGGAUAACCUCGGGAAACCGGAGCUAACACCGGAUAAUAUUUUGAACCGCAUGGUUCAAAAGUGAAAGACGGUCUUGCUGUCACUUAUAGAUGGAUCCGCGCUGCAUUAGCUAGUUGGUAAGGUACCGGCCUACCAAGGCAACGAUGCAUAGCCGACCUGAUAGGGUGAUCGGCCACACUGGAACUGAGACACGGUCCAGAGUCCUACGGGAGGCAGCAGUAGGGAAUGGUCGGCAGUGGGCGGAAGCCUGACGGAGCAACGCCACGUGAGUGAUGAAGAUCUUCGGAUCGUAAAACUGUGUUAUGAGGGAAGAACAUAUGUGGAAGUAGCUGUGCACAGCGUGACGGUACCGAGUCAGAAAGCCACGGCUAACUACGUG